AAAAUGCGAUAAUUAGCAUGAAUUGCAGGCUUCUGUGAAUCGUUGAACUUUCGAACGCACUGCGCCCGGAAGCAAUUCCGGGCACAUUUGGUUGAGUGACACUUCUUUGCUGAAACUCUCUCUGCGGCCCCAAGCCCACGCGGGGGAAUCAUUUCAAGUCCGCGGUUUGCCCGAUCGGUGAUCCGCACAGAAAAAAAUAGAUCGCUGUUUAUUGGUCGGCAUCAGGUCCAAGUCUGAUUGCGGCGUUUUUGUGGUAACGCGCCGAAGUGCUGCGAGCGGAGCAAGCCCGAUUCUGACCUGUGUACUUUAAAAAAAAAAAUAUUGUCCUCAACUCAAGUGUGACUACCCGCUGAACUUAA
rnacentral:misc_RNA from 1 species